UACGGGGGGUGCAAGCGUUGUUCGGAAUUACUGGGCGUAAAGGGCUCGUAGGCGGCCAACUAAGUCGGAUGUGAAAUCCCCAGGCUUAACCUGGGAACUGCAUCCGAUACUGGAUGGCUUGAAUCCGGGAGAGGGAUGCAGAAUUCCAGGUGUAGCGGUGAAAUGCGUAGAUAUCUGGAGGAAUACCGGUGGCGAAGGCGGCAUCCUGGACCGGCAUUGACGCUGAGGAGCGAAAGCUAGGGGAGCAAACGGG
rnacentral:rRNA from 1 species